UACGUAGGGUGCAAGCGUUGUCCGGAAUUAUUGGGCGUAAAGAGCUCGUAGGCGGCUUGUCGCGUCAACUGUGAAAACCCGUGGCUCAACCAUGUGGUCUGCAGUCGAUACGGGCAGGCUAGAAUUCGGUAGGGGAGACUGGAAUUCCUGGUGUAGCGGUGAAAUGCGUAGAUAUCUGGAGGAACACCGGUGGCGAAGGCGGCAUCCUGGACCGGCAUUGACGCUGAGGAGCGAAAGCCAAGGGAGCAAACGGG
rnacentral:rRNA from 1 species